rnacentral:tRNA from 1 species
GGGCUCGUAGCUCAGCGGUAGAGCACCACUCUUAUAAAGUGGGGGCCGAUGGUUCGAAUCCAUCCGAGCCCACCA